rnacentral:lncRNA from 1 species
CCUUUACCAGCAUUUCCUCCAUUAAGUGGCCCUUGAGACCAUGGUGCCUAAGGCCGGCCUGUUAAAACCAUGGCAGAUGGCACUAAAGAAAUCCCCUUAGAUGCAGACCCAGACCCAGCCUGUUUGUUCACACAGUGGACAAGCAUCAACAUGCCAGGCACAGCUCUGGAGACAAGACAAAGUAGUCAAGAAAGAAAAGGAGAGAAAAAAAAAGUCUACACGAACUCCAGGCCACACAGUCCUUGCCCGAGGCACCAUUCCUAUAAAAGUUGAGCUACUACAAGAUUUAUUGCCUGGAUGCAAAAGAGCACACAACAUUCGAGUCUAAAUUUCAGAUAAGCUGGAACCCAGAGGGACUUCUUCGUGAUAGCUCCAGGAAGCUCUUGGAGAUAAGCACUGGGACAAAUAAUAAAGGCCUAGCAACCCAGACUCUGCCA